UACGUAGGGGGCGAGCGUUGUCCGGAUUUAUUGGGCGUAAAGAGCUCGUAGGCGGCUUGGCAAGUCGGGUGUGAAACCUCCAGGCUCAACCUGGAGACGCCACUCGAUACUGCUAUGGCUAGAGUCCGGUAGGGGACCACGGAAUUCCUGGUGUAGCGGUGAAAUGCGCAGAUAUCGGGAGGAACACCAGUAGCGAAGGCGGCUCGCUGGGCCACACCUGACGCUGAGACGCGAAAGCUAGGGGAGCGAACAGG
rnacentral:rRNA from 1 species